rnacentral:rRNA from 1 species
CCUACGGGAGGCAGCAGUGGGGAAUAUUGGACAAUGGGGGGAACCCUGAUCCAGCGACGCCGCGUGAGUGAAGAAGUAUUUCGGUAUGUAAAGCUCUAUCAGCAGGGAAGAAAGAAAUGACGGUACCUGACUAAGAAGCCCCGGCUAACUACGUGCCAGCAGCCGCGGUAAUACGUAGGGGGCAAGCGUUAUCCGGAUUUACUGGGUGUAAAGGGAGCGUAGACGGCGAUGCAAGUCUGAAGUGAAAGGCGGGGGCCCAACCCCCGGACUGCUUUGGAAACUGUAUGGCUGGAGUGCAGGAGAGGUAAGUGGAAUUCCUAGGGUAGCGGUGAAAUGCGUAGAUAUUAGGAGGAACACCAGUGGCGAAGGCGGCUUACUGAACUGUAACUGACGUUGAGGCUCGAAAGCGUGGGGAGCAAACAGGAUUAGAUACCCCAGUAGUC